AUCGCUUCUCGGCCUUUUGGCUAAGAUCAAGUGUAGUAACAACUUCUGUCAUCUUGACCACAUUCUGAUAUUGUGUGUCCUGGGGCUAGACUACACGUAGAUGUAUUGUGCAAAUUGCUGUAGAUUUUCACACAUUCACACCAAAGUUUGUCUUCAUUUGUGCAUAUUUGCAUCUAUUCUCC